CAGCCGCCGCGGUAAUACGGAGGGUGCAAGCGUUAAUCGGAAUUACUGGGCGUAAAGCGCACGCAGGCGGUCUGACAAGUCAGAUGUGAAAUCCCCGGGCUUAACCUGGGAACUGCAUUUGAAACUGUCAGGCUGGAGUCUUGUAGAGGGGGGUAGAAUUCCAGGUGUAGCGGUGAAAUGCGUAGAGAUCUGGAGGAAUACCGGUGGCGAAGGCGGCCCCCUGGACAAAGACUGACGCUCAGGUGCGAAAGCGUGGGGAGCAAACAGGAUUAGAUACCCGAGUAGUCCCUGUCUCUUAUAC
rnacentral:rRNA from 1 species